rnacentral:rRNA from 1 species
GGGGAAUAUUGCACAAUGGGGGAAACCCUGAUGCAGCGACGCCGCGUGGAGGAAGGAGGUCUUCGGAUUGUAAACUCCUGUUGUUGAGGAAGAUAAUGACGGUACUCAACAAGGAAGUGACGGCUAACUACGUGCCAGCAGCCGCGGUAAAACGUAGGUCACAAGCGUUGUCCGGAAUUACUGGGUGUAAAGGGAGCGCAGGCGGGAGAACAAGUUGGAAGUGAAAUCCAUGGGCUCAACCCAUGAACUGCUUUCAAAACUGUUUUUCUUGAGUAGUGCAGAGGUAGGCGGAAUUCCCGGUGUAGCGGUGGAAUGCGUAGAUAUCGGGAGGAACACCAGUGGCGAAGGCGGCCUACUGGGCACCAACUGACGCUGAGGCUCGAAAGUGUGGGUAGCAAACAGGAUUAGAUACCCUGGUAGUCCACACCGUAAACGAUGAUUACUAGGUGUUGGAGGAUUGACCCCUUCAGUGCCGCAGCAAACGCAAUAAGUAUUCCACCUGGGGAGUACGUUCGCAAGAAUGAAACUCAAAGGAAUUGACGGGGACCCGCACAAGCGGUGGAGUAUGUGGUUUAAUUCGACGCAACGCGAAGAACCUUACCAAGUCUUGACAUCCCUUGACAGACAUAGAAAUAUGUAAUCUCUUCGGAGCAAGGAGACAGGUGGUGCAUGGUUGUCGUCAGCUCGUGUCGUGAGAUGUUGGGUUAAGUCCCGCAACGAGCGCAACCCUUAUGGUCAGUUGCUACGCAAGAGCACUCUAGCGAGACUGCCGUUGACAAAACGGAGGAAGGUGGGGACGACGUCAAAUCAUCAUGCCCUUUAUGUCCUGGGCUACACACGUACUACAAUGGCGGUCAUACAGAGGGAAGCAAAACAGCGAUGUGGAGCAAAACCCUAAAAGCCGUCUCAGUUCAGAUUGCAGGCUGCAACUCGCCUGCAUGAAGUCGGAAUUGCUAGUAAUCGCGGAUCAGCAUGCCGCGGUGAAUACGUUCCCG